rnacentral:rRNA from 1 species
CAAGUCGAACGAGAAAGGGGUAGCAAUACCCCCGGUAAAGUGGCGAACGGGUGAGUAACACGUGGGUAACCUACCCUCGAGCUCGGAAUAACCCGCCGAAAGGUGGGCUAAUACCGGAUAAAGUUUUCGGUCCCCAGGGAUUGGAAACCAAAGAUGGCCAAUGCUUGCAAGCUAUCACUUGAGGAGGGGCCCGCGGCCCAUUAGCUAGUUGGCGGGGUAAUGGCCCACCAAGGCGACGAUGGGUAGCCGGCCUGAGAGGGCGAUCGGCCACAUUGGAACUGAGACACGGUCCAGACUCCUACGGGAGGCAGCAGUGAGGAAUCUUGCGCAAUGGGCGAAAGCCUGACGCAGCAACGCCGCGUGGGUGAUGAAGGCCUUCGGGUCGUAAAACCCUGUCAGGUGGGAAGAAUCGGUCGGGAGCUAAUAUCUCCCGGCCCUGACUGUACCACCAGAGGAAGCCCCGGCUAACUCCGUGCCAGCAGCCGCGGUAAUACGGAGGGGGCCAGCGUUGUUCGGAAUUAUUGGGCGUAAAGGGCGCGUAGGCGGUCGGGUAAGUCUGACGUGAAAUCCCUUGGCUCAACCAAGGAACUGCGUCUUAAACUGCCCGGCUUGAGUCCGGGAGAGGGUAGUGGAAUUCCCAGUGUAGCGGUGAAAUGCGUAGAUAUUGGGAGGAACACCGGUGGCGAAGGCGGCUACCUGGACCGGUACUGACGCUGAGGCGCGAAAGCUAGGGUAGCAAACAGGAUUAGAUACCCUGGUAGUCCUAGCUGUAAACGAUGGGCACUUGGUGUAGCGGGUAUCGACCCCUGCUGUGCCGAAGCUAACGCAUUAAGUGCCCCGCCUGGGGAGUACGGUCGCAAGGCUGAAACUCAAAGAAUUGACGGGGGGCCCGCACAACCG